rnacentral:rRNA from 1 species
AGCGAACGCUGGCGGCAGGCCUAACACAUGCAAGUCGAACGAACUCUUCGGAGUUAGUGGCGGACGGGUGAGUAACACGUGGGAACGUGCCUUUAGGUUCGGAAUAACUCAGGGAAACUUGUGCUAAUACCGAAUGUGCCCUUCGGGGGAAAGAUUUAUCGCCUUUAGAGCGGCCCGCGUCCGAUUAGCUAGUUGGUGAGGUAAAGGCUCACCAAGGCGACGAUCAGUAGCUGGUCUGAGAGGAUGAUCAGCCACAUUGGGACUGAGACACGGCCCAAACUCCUACGGGAGGCAGCAGUGGGGAAUCUUGCGCAAUGGGCGAAAGCCUGACGCAGCCAUGCCGCGUGAAUGAUGAAGGUCUUAGGAUUGUAAAAUUCUUUCACCGGGGGCGAUAAUGACGGUACCCGGAGAAGAAGCCCCGGCUAACUUCGUG